rnacentral:rRNA from 1 species
GAAUAUGUCAGUUGGUCGGGCUUCACUGUCCGUAUUGACUUGAUGGAUUCUUACCUUCUGAAUAACCAGCAUGCUAUUAAGUUAGUGCGUUGGGGAAGCAGAUCUAUUACCUUGAAAAAAUUAGGGUGCUUAAAGCAGGCUAGUGCUUGAAUAGAUUAGCUUGGAAUAAUAAAAUAGGACGGCAUGGUUCUAUUUUGUUGGUUUCUAGGAUCGCCGUA